rnacentral:misc_RNA from 1 species
AACAUCUCAUCCGUGCCUUUUCAGUUGUUGGAUCGAGCACUCGUUUGGCCACAAACGGUGUUCUCGCGUUGCAUACCUACCAAGAAGGUAUUACGUCGGCUAUAUAUGUCCCAUUGUCGCCUUGUGCUGUUUCCCUUUGCUGGGAUGUGGUGCGGGGUGCACUUCAAUGCUGGCGCCGUGUUUCGCACCGUGCUCACCUCUACGGGAGUUCCGGUUCCCGACCCACGGUGUCGUGCUUGAUUUCUCGGGUGCGGAAUACCACGUGGGAUUAGAGGCCCUUGGCCUCCAUUCCCACAAUAAAAGAGCGCUCUACGCUUAAUGCGAACGACUGUCGGCUCGGUCUUCCAUUGUGCUCUCGUAGUCCGAUUGGAGUCGUGUCGGCGUCGG